GGGUUUUGACUGAGGGAGGCUGCUGCUGAGAGUCCUGCCAGGAGGAAAAGGCCUAAAAGUAGAGCUUGUCCCAGAAAUAAAUGUCGUCUGUUUGGCGCGGUUACCCUUGCCUGGAAAAUUUCAUCAAAUGUUACGUUGUUUGACAGAAAUUCUGGGAGAAUAAUGUAAGUAAGCCGUAAACGGCGGCGUCUCACGCGAGAAAAUCAGCAUGCUCUAAUUUUUCUUCCUUAACGAAGGAAACCUCGAUAUGGCAAACAGAAAGUAUCUCAAUGUAUGUUUCUAAGGUAAAAUCUCCCUGUUUAUCUGCGUUUGCCCUAUUAAUGUUCGACAAGCUAGAAAGAUACGAUAAGGAUUGUUGCAUGUCAGACUUUUCGCAAAGUGAAUCUUUACAUGCCGCGAUAUAAUCAUACAUAGGUAAAUUAUAAUUACGCGGGUUAAUUUCACCAAUUAGACUAACUAAUAAAGCAGCCGUACGUAUCUGUUAAAGUAAACAUGUAACCCUUGACGAUGCAUGCAACUACAUGCAUAUGUUUGAUAAAAUGAAUUAAAUUAAUUGUUGCUUUAAUUUACACUAAUAUUUAAUUUCUCAUUUGUGAGAACAUUAAAUAAAAGAGAAAGGACGAGCAGUAAUUGGUUCUGAAAAUAUUUGGUCGGGAAUACCCCUCCUGUCUUGCAAUUUAAAUUUGAGAGAAUGACGAUCAACGUUAAAAUCCUUGGCAGUAUAAUGACGCUAUUAAAGAUAGUAUAGACAUCAAAGCUAUCAAAGGCUUUCCUGGUGGCUCCUGUUCAAUGGAGUGUAUCGAUACGAGCAGACGACACGACUAGGAGAAAUAGGCAGUCGACAUGCAAACUAGGCCUAGGUCUCGGCGAAAUUACGAGCGUGCUGGUUAUUGGAGCUUGUCGAAGUAUGAACGAAAACAAUUACCAUAAAUUCUUGUAUACAUUUCCACGUACUAUCGAGAGGAAAAGAGAUAAAGGUUUCUUUCUAAGCUCUAUUAAUCCGGUGCUUCCUCAAAUUUCAAUUAUAGAUGCUUAUACGACCGCGAAAAUGCGUUUCACGCUAUCGCACGCGAUCGGUUCAAUUGGUAACAAGCUCUUCCCGCUUUUUUUAGCGCUUGUAAAACAAAACGUCUUUGCGCUCUAUUUCCGGUAGUGAAACCGUCGAAUUAUAAAUUGUAUGUCACCACGAUGCUUGCAUUUUAAAAUAAUACCCUUCACAAUUUAUAUUUAUAAUCUUUACAAAUACCUUUGGGGAUUUUUUAAAUGAAAACCAUUGAGAAGCGUAAAGCGAUUGCGUGAUAUACAAAUAAUCUACAAUGGACGAGAGAAAAAUUAGGAUCGACCGUGCAUAGAUUUAACGGAAUUUUUAUAAACGAUGUUUUUCGAUAAAUAAAUUGUACAUUCCUCUAUU